rnacentral:rRNA from 1 species
GUGAGGAAUAUUGGUCAAUGGGCGGGAGCCUGAACCAGCCAAGUCGCGUGAAGGAAGAAGGAUCUAUGGUUCGUAAACUUCUUUUGCAGGGGAAUAAAGUGCAGGACGUGUCCUGUUUUGUAUGUACCCUGAGAAUAAGGAUCGGCUAACUCCGUGCCAGCAACCGCGGUAAUACGGAGGAUCCGAGCGUUAUCCGGAUUUAUUGGGUUUAAAGGGUGCGUAGGUGGUUUGAUAAGUCAGCGGUGAAAGUUUGCAGCUUAACUGUAAAAAUGCCGUUGAAACUGUCGGACUUGAGUGUAAAUGAGGUAGGCGGAAUGCGUGGUGUAGCGGUGAAAUGCAUAGAUAUCACGCAGAACUCCGAUUGCGAAGGCAGCUUACUAAGCUACAACUGACACUGAAGCACGAAAGCGUGGGGAUCAAACAGGAUUAGAUACCCGAGUAGUCC